AAACCAGACCACCGAUGUGAUCUGAACUAUUGAUCUGUUGCUUAUUGAAUAACUUUAUUGUCAAUUACUCUACAGAUCACUUUCCAGGUUAAAAACAAAAAUUUAUCACUGCUGGAACAUGAAGACGCUGCAAGUAAGAAGUGUCAACUGUCACAACCUUCCAACGAAUACGCAAUGAAUAUGAGAGAAACUCAUCAUUUAUCUAUAUUUGUUAUCUUUUCCCUUUGAAUGAUAUCAAAUUAUAUUAUGACAAGUUUAUGAGCAAGCACCUCAGCCAAACAACCUCUCAGUAUUCCGAGAGGUAGCUAAAGUAACACACCAAUAAUACCAUAUGUAUCUCCAAUGGUUCUUUCACAUUCAAAACGGUGCAGGUAUGGCUGUGUGGCAAGAAGCUUGCUUCUUUACCAUGUGGGCUUGGGUUCAGUC